CCUGAAGACCCUCAUUCCGGAAGACCGUCUGUCUUAGUCUGUAUCUCUGAUUGUAUUUUGUUGAGAAUCACCUCCAGGCUUGUUGGAUGGGACUCAUUUGCGUGUAAGCCAUCUCUUGGAUCUUUUGUUAAGAAUCACCUCCAGGUUUGUUGGAUGGGAUUCUUUUUCUUUGUACGUUGUUUAUUCAGAUAUUCUGUUGACAUUGGUUGUAUGCCUUUUUACCCUUAUG
rnacentral:lncRNA from 1 species